AGGACGAACGCUGGCGGCAUGCUUAACACAUGCAAGUCAAGGGGUCGCAAGACCACUGGCGCACGGGUGAGUAACACGUAGGUUAUCUGCCCCCAUCACAGACAUAACCCCCGGGAAACCGGGGCUAAUAUCUGAUGAGGCCGAGAGGUCAAAGCUUUAUGCGGAUGGGGAUGAGCCUGCGGCUGAUUAGCUAGUUGGUGAGGUAAUGGCUCACCAAGGCGACGAUCAGUAGCUGGUCUGAGAGGACGAACAGCCACACUGGAACUGAGACACGGUCCAGACUCCGUACGGGAGGCAGCAGUGAGGAAUAUUGGUACAAGUGGGCGAGAGCCUAGAACCAGCAAUGCCGCGUGUGGAUGACGAGGGCUUCGCCUUAGUAAAACCACUGUCCGGAUAGGGAACGAAAAGGAGGUAAGAACCUGUACGGGACGUAACCAUACGAAAGGAA
rnacentral:rRNA from 1 species